GGGAAACUACUUAAGGAGGUUGUUCCACAUUAUUAAUCAAGCCACAGUUUUCAUGCAGUAUGGGGAUAAAAUAGAUCUUUCUGCAGAUGGAAAGCAUGAAAAAGUGCAGUAUCUUGAAAAAGGUAUCACAAGCUAAACAGAUUCGUCAGCCGAUAUUUCAGCUAUGGAAGACAUGAGGGCAACGAGUUCCACUACAACGACACGCUGAAAACGCUGUCUGUCUCUUACUUUUCCCACCAGCAGCAGCUGCUCACAGUUGUACAUUAUCACUGUAAUCCAGACCAGUCUGCUUCGUACAUCCAGGACCUAAGUCUCAGCACAGAGGAGCCCCUGGAGGUCUGGGUGGAGAGCCCCUGUGCGUGUCCGAAUGCCUGCGCCAUGGGAGAUCUGGGUCUGGGCACCAUCUUCCUCAUCAUCCUCUCUGUCAGUGCUGCGGCAUACUUCAUCCUUGGCUCCUGCGCUCUCAGGUCUUUCCGGAGCAGCAACGGAGUUCAGAUCUCUCCGGAGCACAGUGUGUGGUGUAUGAUCUGCUACCUCUGCACCGAGAGAAGGCCGGCUAGAAGACACAACGCAGACAUGACACACUGCCAACGAUAAGCAGCUGCAGGCCUCAGAAACACGACAGGACAUCCCAGCGUGUCAAAUGUUUUGACCUGAAGGUGUCGUGUCCCGUAGGGAGCCUGGAGUCAGGGUGGUGUUAUUGUUUUAUAGUUAGCUGAAAGUGACAGGCUUUUCCUCUGUAAACCUUUACACAGAAUGCUAUAGAGUUAUAAAUAAUAGAUAACUGCAUUUUUGUUUGGUAGUAAUGCACAUAAAAUAAUUUCCUUCUAUUUUACAUACAAUAAAUUUAAUGAAACGGA